AUACGGAGGGUGCAAGCGUUAAUCGGAAUUACUGGGCGUAAAGCGCGCGUAGGCGGUUUAGUAAGUCGGAUGUGAAAGCCCUGGGCUCAACCUGGGAAUGGCAUUCGAUACUGCCUGACUAGAGUAUGGUAGAGGGAAGUGGAAUUUCCGGUGUAGCGGUGAAAUGCGUAGAUAUCGGAAGGAACACCAGUGGCGAAGGCGACUUCCUGGGCCAAUACUGACGCUAAGGUGCGAAAGCGUGGGGAGCAAACAGGAUUAGAAACCCCGGUAGUCC
rnacentral:rRNA from 1 species